UGCUGCUGCACGACUACGCCCGGCUGGGCUGCGUGGACGAGAACGGCUGGCAGGAGAUCCACCAGGCAUGUCGCUAUGGGCACGUGCAGCACCUGGAGCAUCUUCUCUUCUAUGGAGCUGAUAUGACUGCACAGAACGCCUCAGGAAACACUGCUCUGCAUAUCUGUGCUCUCUAUAACCAGGAGAGCUGCGCUCGGGUUCUCCU